GAACCGUCCAAACGUUAUUCGGGAAUUACUGGGGCUUAAAGGGGUGCGUAGGCGGCUUGGCAAGUUGGGUGUGAAAUCCCUCGGCUCAACCGAGGGAACUGCGCUCAAAACUGCCAGGCUAGAGGAAGAUAGAGGUGAGCGGAACUAAUGGUGGAGCGGUGAAAUGCGUUGAUAUCAUUAGGAACACCUGUGGCGAAAGCGGCUCACUGGGUCUCCUCUGACGCUGAGGCACGAAAGCUAGGGUAGCGAACGGGAUUAGAUACCCCGGUAGUCCUAGCCGUAAACGAUGAGCACUAGGUUGGAGGCUCCUUCAUAGGCUUCCGACCGAAGCGAAAGUGUUAAGUGCUCCGCCUGGGGAGUAUGGUCGCAAAGGCUGA
rnacentral:rRNA from 1 species